rnacentral:rRNA from 1 species
GACGAACGCUGGCGGCGUGCUUAAUACAUGCAAGUCGAACGGAAAGGCGCUGCUUUUGUGGGGUGCUCGAGUGGCGAACGGGUGAGUAACACGUGAGUAACCUGCCCCUGACUUUGGGAUAACUUUUGGAAACUGGGGCUAAUACCGGAUAGGAGCUCUUGAUGCAUGGUGGGGGUUGAAAAGUUUCGGCGGUUGUGGAUGGUCUCGCGGCUUAUCAGCUUGUUGGUGGGGUAGUGGCUUACCAAGGUUUUGACGGGUAGCCGGCCUGAGAGGGGAACCGGCCACCAUGGGACUGAGAGAGGGCGCAGUCUGCAACGGGAGGCAACGGGGGAAAAUAUUGCACAAUAGGCGGGAGCCUGAUACGGCGGCCCCGGGUGCGUGAUGACGGCCUACGGGUUAUAAACCGCUUUGGCCGGUAACAAGCCGUGAGUGACGGUAACUAAUAAGAAAGCCCCGGCUAACUACGUG